rnacentral:rRNA from 1 species
CCUACGGGUGGCUGCAGUGAGGAAUAUUGGUCAAUGGGCGAGAGCCUGAACCAGCCAAGUCGCGUGAGGGAGUACUGCCCUAUGGGUGGUAAACCUCUUUUGUCGGGGAGCAAAAGCCGGACGUUUCCGGCUGUGAGAGUACCCGAAGAAAAAGCAUCGGCUAACUCCGUGCCCGCUGCCGCGGUAAGACUGAGGCUGCGAGCGUUAUCCGGAUUUAUUGGGUUUAAAGGGUGCGCAGGCGGAUUGUUAAGUCAGCGGUCAAAUCGUGGGGCUAAACCCCAUCCAGCCGUUGAAACUGGGGAUCUAGAGUGUGAGAGAGGUAUGCGGAAUGCGUGGUGUAGCGGUGAAAUGCAUAGAUAUCACGCAGAACCCCGAUUGCGAAGGCAGCAUACCGGUGCACAACUGACGCUCAGGCACGAAAGCGUGGGUAUCGAACAGGAUUAGAUACCCUUGUAGUC